rnacentral:tRNA from 1 species
GGUGGCGCAGUGUUUAUGCAUUUGGCUGCUAACCAAAAGGUUGGUGGUUUGAAUCCACCAGCCACCC